UUGACUAAACCAAACUGUGUGACCUUGCGCA
rnacentral:piRNA from 1 species